rnacentral:rRNA from 1 species
AAUACAUGCAAGUCGAACGGUAAGGCCCUUUCGGGGGUACACGAGUGGCGGACGGGUGCGUAACGCGUAUGCAACAUACCUUCAAGCGGGGGAUAUGCCAGGGAAACUUGGUGCAACACCCCAUAGCAUUUCGGGACCGCAUGGUCUUGGGAUUAAAUAUUUAUAGCUUGGAGAUUGGCAUGCGUGACAUUAGCUAGUUGGCGGGGUAACGGCCCACCAAGGCGACGAUGUCUAGCUGGUCUGAGAGGAUGAUCAGCCACACUGGGACUGAGACACGGCCCAGACUCCUACGGGAGGCAGCAGUAGGGAAUAUUGGACAAUGGGGGGAACCCUGAUCCAGCCAUGCCGCGUGAGGGAAGAAGGUCCUCUGGAUUGUAAACCUCUUUUGGCGGGGGACAAACAUGCACUAUACGUGCAGCUGAGGGUACCCGCAGAAUAAGCACCGACGAACUCCGUGCCAGCAGCCGCGGUAAUA